GACGAACGCUGGCGGCGUGCUUAACACAUGCAAGUCGAACGGAAAGGCCCUGCUUUUGUGGGGUGCUCGAGUGGCGAACGGGUGAGUAACACGUGAGUAACCUGCCCUUGACUUUGGGAUAACUUCAGGAAACUGGGGCUAAUACCGGAUAGGAGCUCCUGCUGCAUGGUGGGGGUUGGAAAGUUUCGGCGGUUGGGGAUGGACUCGCGGCUUAUCAGCUUGUUGGUGGGGUAGUGGCUUACCAAGGCUUUGACGGGUAGCCGGCCUGAGAGGGUGACCGGCCACAUUGGGACUGAGAUACGGCCCAGACUCCUACGAGAGGCAGCAGUGGGGAAUAUUGCACAAUGGGCGGAAGCCUGAUGCAGCAACGCCGCGUGCGGGAUGACGGCCUUCGGGUUGUAAACCGCUUUCGCCUGUGACGAAGCGCGAGUGACGGUAAUGGGUAAAGAAGCACCGGCUAACUACGUG
rnacentral:rRNA from 1 species